AUGCUCACUUCAGCAGCACAUAUACUAAAAUGGGGAUGAUACCGAGGCAAUUAGUAUGGUCCUUGGGCAAGGAUAACAUGCACAUUCAUUAAGUAUCUCAUAUUUUU